GUCUAUGGCCACACCACCCUGAAUGUGCCCAAUCUCAUCUGAUCUCGGAAGCUAAGCAGGGUUGGGCCUGGUUAGUACUUGGAUGGGAGAAUUAUCUGGGGGUUUGCUAAGAAUGCAGAAUCCUGGGCCCUACCCC
rnacentral:rRNA from 1 species